rnacentral:rRNA from 1 species
UGAAGUUGCUGAUGCCAUACUUCCAGGAAAAGCCUCUAAGCUUCAGAUUAUACCGAAUCGUACCCCAAACCGACACAGGUGGUCAGGUAGAGAAUACUAAGGCGCUUGAGAGAACUCGGGUGAAGGAACUAGGCAAAAUCGUACCGUAACUUCGGGAGAAGGUACGCUCCUAUCUGUGAUGAGACUUGCUCUCUAAGCGGACGGGAGCCGCAGUGACCAGGUGGCUGGGACUGUUUAUUAAAAACACAGCACUGUGCAAAAUCGCAAGAUGACGUAUACGGUGUGACACCUGCCCGGUGCCGGAAGGUUAAUUGAUGGGGUUAUCUUCGGAGAAGCUCUUGAUCGAAGCCCCGGUAAACGGCGGCCGUAACUAUAACGGUCCUAAGGUAGCGAAAUUCCUUGUCGGGUAAGUUCCGACCUGCACGAAUGGUGUAACCAUGGCCACGCUGUCUCCACCCGAGACUCAGUGAAAUUGAAAUCGCAGUGAAGAUGCUGUGUACCCGCGGCUAGACGGAAAGACCCCGUGAACCUUUACUACAGCUUGGCACUGAACAUUGAACCUACAUGUGUAGGAUAGGUGGGAGACUUUGAAGAUGAGACGCUAGUCUUGUUGGAGUCGUCCUUGAAAUACCACCCUUGUAGUUUUGAUGUUCUAACGUUGGCCCCUGAAUCGGGGUUACGGACAGUGCCUGGUGGGUAGUUUGACUGGGGCGGUCUCCUCCCAAAGAGUAACGGAGGAGCACGAAGGUUGGCUAAGUACGGUCGGACAUCGUACGGUUAGUGUAAUGGUAGAAGCCAGCUUAACUGCGAGACAGACACGUCGAGCAGGUACGAAAGUAGGUCAUAGUGAUCCGGUGGUUCUGAAUGGAAGGGCCAUCGCUCAACGGAUAAAAGGUACUCCGGGGAUAACAGGCUGAUACCGCCCAAGAGUUCAUAUCGACGGCGGUGUUUGGCACCUCGAUGUCGGCUCAUCACAUCCUGGGGCUGAAGUCGGUCCCAAGGGUAUGGCUGUUCGCCAUUUAAAGUGGUACGCGAGCUGGGUUUAGAACGUCGUGAGACAGUUCGGUCCCUAUCUGCCGUGGGCGUUUGAGAAUUGAGAGGGGUUGCUCCUAGUACGAGAGGACCGGAGUGAACGAACCGCUGGUGUUCGGGUUGUCAUGCCAAUGGCAUUGCCCGGUAGCUACGUUCGGAACUGAUAAGCGCUGAAAGCAUCUAAGCGCGAAGCAGGCCUCGAGAUGAGUUCUCACUAGACUUUUAAAGUCUCUGAAGGGCCGUUGAAGACUACAACGUUGAUAGGCAAGAUGUGGAAGUGGUGUGAGCCAUUAAGCUAACUUGUACUAAUUACCCGUGAGGCUUAACCAUACAACGCCAAACGCGUUU